GGAGCGGUGAUGAUUACAACAUGCCAUCUGAGCAUAGGUGCUGAGACCCAGAGGCUGUUUCUGAGCUG
rfam:Loxodonta africana unplaced genomic scaffold scaffold_1, whole genome shotgun sequence.